UUUUUCUCUUUGCUUGUUUGUUUUUGGCUCCUGUUUUUCUCUCCUCUCUCUCCUCCUUCCCGUACCCCUAUUAGCUCCACACAUCACAACCUCCCCCCUCUUUCCUGCUUACCUGCACCAGGCACUGAAUAUCACACUCCCAAGCAGCACAGGCACAGCCUACUGGAACCUGCCCGGCACUGAUUCCUGGCCCACCCUGUCGGCCCUAAUACGUGCCACAAACAACCAGUCCGAGCCCCUCCCCUUCAGCUGGACCUGCCCUGCUGCACUACAGCUGAAUGACUGGCCCAGCCCAUUGGACAAGGAGGUGAAAAUAUCGCGACUACAGACAAGCAAAGAAUGCACAGCCCACCUGCUCAGUCAUAAGCAAAGAAAACAAAAAAGCAGGAAAAACAAACAAAUUUACUAUCAAGAAACAAAGGAAGUAACUACUGAAUGUCUCGAAGACAGCAGACAAUAUCAAAACAUAUAAAAAUACAGGACAGGAUGGGUCCAGGAGGUGUCCAAAACACCAGAUGACUUUCUAGUAGAAGAAAAGGCACUAGAACUACCUGAUAGGGCAUUCAAAUCUCUGAUAUUCAAGGCAAUCCAAGAGUAGAAGCAAAAAGCAGACAAAAAUGAGGAAAAAAAUAGACAUAUUUUUAGAAAAGGCAGACAAAUUCAUGGAAAAUGCAGACAAAAAAAAUGGAACAAUUCAGGAAAGUAAUACAGGAAAAAAAUGCCAAAAUUCACAACUAGAAAUCAUACAAAAGCAACAAUUAUAAAUCCAAAAGAUAAGCAACAAGAUUUCAGAAAUGGGCAGUGUCAUAGAAGGGCUGAGGAGCAGGUUUGAAACAAUGGACGACAGAAUCAGCGAAAUUGAAGACAGACAUUUGGAUAGACCUUUGAGGAAAAAUUAGUUGAGGAAAAAUUAGAAAAAAGAACGAAGAAAAAUGAAGAAACCCUGAGAAUUUUGUGGGAUACAAUCAAAAGCAAAAAUUUGCUAGUGAUCGGAGUUCCAGAACAGGGAGUGAAAACGGAAAACACAGAGAGGAUCAUUGAAGAAUUCCUGACGGAAAACUUCCCUAAUAUGAAUGAUGAAAAGCUGACCAUCCAAGAAGCUCAGUGAACUGCACAUAGGAUAGACCCCAAAAGAAAAACACCAAGACAUAUCGUAAUCAUACUGGCUAAAACCAAACACAAAGAAAAAAAUCCUGCGAGCAGCCUGAGAAAAACAAAAACUCACAUACAGAGGAGAAACAAUAAGACUAAGCUCUGAUUAUUGAGCAGAAACCAUGCAGGCAAGGAGACAAUGGGAUGACAUAUAUAAAACCUUGAAAGAAAAGAAUUGCCAAACAAGAAUCAUAUAACCUGCAAAACUUUCUUUCAAAUAUGAUGGUGAAAUUAGGACAUUUCCAGAUAAACCAAAAUUAAGGGAAUAUGUAAAAACCAAACCAAAUUUAGGAGAAUUAAUCAAAGGAGUCCUUUAGUCUGAGAACAAACAACAUCAGACCACAUCCUGAAUCCAGGACUCAAGAUUGUACCAGCCAGAUACCAAUCUAGGAGAUGAACUCUGAAGGACUAUCCAAAACCAAGACAACUGCAACAGGGAACCAGAGAGGUUAAUCUGUAAGUGACAACAACGUCAGAACAAUAAAAGAGGGAAUAAACGGUAUAGGUAUAGAACUCUCUAAUGGAGAAGAAGGCAAGGCGAUACCAAGUAAUAAUAGACUAGUUCAAACCUGGGAAGAUACAGGUAAAUUUCAAGGUAACCACAAAGAAAGUUAACAAACGUACUCAUCAAAAUGAAGAAAAACAAAGUCUCAAUAAAAUCAAAAUCUACAAAAACAAAAGAAAUCCACAAACGAAAGGAACUCAGCACAGGACGUUAUACUGAGUGAAAUAAGUCCAUCACAAAAGGACAAAUAUUGUAUGAGACCACUACUGUAAAAACUCAAGGAAAGUUUUACAUAACAAAAAGAAACAAUAUUUCAUGGUUACGAGGCGGGGGAGGGGUAGGGAUGGAAAAACACUUAAUGGACAAAAGAUAAGCGGUAACUUUAGUGAAGGGCAAGACAGUACACAAUACUGGGAAAGCCAGCACAGCCUGUACAAGGCAAGGCCAUGUAGCUCCAUAGACACAUCCAAACUCCCUGCGGGACCGAAUUGCUGGACCAAGCGCUGUGGGGACCAUGGUCUGGGGGAACAUCUAGCUCAAUUGGCGUAACGGAGUUUACAAAGAGAAUGUUCUACAUUCUACUUUGGUGAGUAGUGUCUGGGGUCUUAAAGCCCUGUGAGCAGCCAUCUAGUAUGCUCCACUGGUUUCACCCCUUCGGGAACAAGAGAGAAUGAAGAAAACUAAAGACACAAGGGAAAGAUUAGUCCAAAGGGCUAAUGGACCACAUCUACCACAGCCUCCACCAGACUGCGUUCAAUACAACGAGAUGGUGCCCAGCUACCACCACUGAUUACUCUGACAGGGAUCACAAUAGAGGGCCACGGACGGGACAGGAAAAAAACGUAGAACAAAAUUCUAACAAAAAGAAAGACCACACGUGCUGGCCUGACAGACUGGAGAAACUCCGGAGUGUAUGGCCCCCAGAUACCCUUUCAGCUCAGUAAUGAGGCCACACCUGAGGUUCACCCUUCAACCAAAGGUUGAACAGGCCCAUGGAACAAAACAAGACUAAAGUGGCUCACCAGCCCUGGGGCAGGGACUGAAAGGCAGGAGGUAACAGGAAUGCUGGUAAUGGGGAACCCAGGAUUGAGAAGGGAGAGUGCUGACAUGUUGUGGGGUUGUUAACCAGUGUCAUACAACAAUGUGUGUACUAAUUGUUUGCUGAGAAACUUGUUUGUCUGUAAACCUUCAUCUAAAGUUGAAUUUAAAAAAAAAAAAAAUUGCCUUUGAGUUGAUUCCGACUCACCCUGACCCCAUGUGUUAAGGUUUUCUUAGUCGUAAUCUUUAUGGGGCAGAUUGUCAGGCCUUUCUUCUGCAGUGCCACUAGGUGGGUUCAAACUGCCAGCCUUUAGUAGACAAGCACAAACUGUUUGCACCACCCAGGGACCCCAGGUACCAGGAAUAGAUGCUUGAAAAUUUUAAAGAGGGUAAGAGUAUUUUUAUGUAGGGGCAAUAUGGUAAAUCUUCAUGGAGGAAAUGGGAUUUGGGCUGCGCCUAAAAAGUUGAGUGGAAUUAAGUGGCGAAAUCAUGCACAAAGAUCAAGAGAAUUUAAACUGGCAAGUUAAGUUAUGGUUAGAUUCUAGACAUCUGGAAAGCCAGGCCAAGGAAGCUGGACAUUAUUAUAAAGGCAACAAGGAACUGUAAUUGAGGUCCACAUUAAGUCCCAGAAUUUCAGAGCCAAAUAUAUGACUGAUCCAUAGCAGAAGCCAUGGCAGCUGUCUUGUUCUUCUUUCCAGAGAUAUACGCCAAACCUCCCUUACUUUCCUGUGGCCUGCUUUCAUAGGCCCUAAAUUUCAGCUUUUGAAAUGCCACCUUCACAUUUUUAUUCCAUACCUGUAUGUCACAUGUAUAUUUGUUAUUUAAUAUUUCUCUUUAAGUCUCCUUUGAAUUAACUCCUAAGCAAAAAAUGAUCUCUGACAUUAUGAGGUGGAUAUAGAUGCUGGGUAAAAUUUUUCCAAUAUACAGUCAAAAAAUGCAUAACUAUUCACAUUUCUAAAGUGUCCCAAUUGCCACCUAAAUAUUCAUAGUUCCCACUAGCAGUUUACAGACCACACUUGGAAAAACAUGGUCCUACUCCGAACCACCACACAGGUCUUUUCUUUCCUGAGUUCACAGCUUGCUUGUCUUUCCACAUUUGCUCUCCCAUUUUGUUUUGUCCACUUUUGGACUCAAUAACUGAUGAACGAGGUCCCUGGAUAGUGCAGAUGACCCACACGCUCUGCUCCUUACCAGAAAGUUGAAGGUUGGAGUUUACUCAGAUGUGCUUCCAAAGAGGGGCCUGGCGAUCUACCUCUGAAAAAUCAGCCAUUGAAAAUCUUGUGGACAUGGGGUUGCCAUGAGUUGGGAUCGACUCGAUGGCAACCAGUAAACUGAAGAAAAAAAAAUAUUUUGAUUCAUGCAAGGUGUUCCAAAUAUCAGCAUUAAGAGGUGUUUGGGAGAAGUCGAUUCCAGUCCUCAUGGAAGACUUGGAGGAGUUUCAAGACUUGACUAGAGGAAGUAACUGCAGAUGUGUAGAUAGCAAGAGAAGAGUUAGAAAUGGAGCCUGAAGAUGCGACCGAAUUGCUGCAAUCUCAUGAUAACACUUUAACACAUGAGGAGUUGCUUCUCAUGAAUGAGGAAAAGAAGAUGGUUUCUUGAGAUGGAACCUCCUUCUGGUGAUGAUACUGUGAACAUUGUUGAAACGAUAACAAAGGAUUUAGAAUAUUACAUAAACUUAGCUGAUAGAGCAUCCUCAGGGCUUGAGAGGGUUGACUUUAAUUUUGAAAGAAGUUCUGUAGGUAAAAUGUUACAAAGAGCAUCACAUGCUACAGAGAAAUCUUUUGUGAAAGGAAGAGUCAGUAGAUGUGGCAGACUUCAUUGUUGUCGUAUUUUAAGAAAUUGCCACGGCCAUGCUAGCCUUUAGCAGCCACCACCCUGAUCAGUCAACAGCCAUCGGCACCAAGGCAAGACUUUCCACCAGUAAAAAGAUUACCACCUGCUGAAGGCUCAGAUGAUGGUUAGCAUUUUUUAAGCAAUAAAAUAUUUUUUGAUUAAGAUAUGUACAUAUUUUUAAGGCAUAAUGUUAUUAUUGCACACUUAAUGGACUGCAGUAUAGUGUGAACAUAACUUUUGAACGCACUAGGAAGCCAGAAAAUUCAUGUGACUCCUUUAUUGUGAUACUUGCCUUAUUUCGGUAGCCUGGAACUGAACCCGUAAUAGCGCCGACGUAUGCCUGUAGCCUUUUAUAACUGAAUUGGCAUUUUAUAGAGAAGGAAGUUGUGACUUAAGAUGAUAAUGUUAGCUGCCUUCAAGUCCAUUCCGACUCGUGACAACCCCAUGUGUGUCAGAGUAGAACUGCUCCGUAGGAUUUUAAGUCCGUGACCUUCCAGAAGCAGAACACCAGGCCUGUUUUCUGAGAUGCCUAAGGUUUGGUUCAAACUGUCGACCUUUCUGGUAGCAUUUGAGCACUUAACCGUGUGAGCCCCCCGGGGACUCCUGAGGCUCAAGGUACAGAACCCUUACUAGUGGCAGAGUUGGGAUUGGCCUUAACCUGCUUCCUCUUGGCCCAUUGCACCUAAAGGGGCGCAGUGACCCUGAAAAUGAGACAUUUCCUUAUUGAUAUCUACAUUUCCCAUUGAUGCUGUCAUGUGAUGUAUUUGAUUUAGAUGGCUUACGGUUGGUUGCUAGCAAAUCCAUGUAUUAAAGCAUAUUUCUUAGAAGUUAAUUUUUUUUUUUAGUAAUUUCAAGUGUUAAUAUAAAUCUGGUCUUUACCCCUUUUACUAUCCUGGUGACAUAGUAGGAAUUAUGGGUCAUUAAUUUUAUUCUCAUUGAUACAAUAUGAUCUGUGAUAAUUCCUUCUUUAUCCUCACUGUUUUGUCAUUGAUCAUGUUUGCUACCUAUCUCCUUCUCAGAAGUUUGUAAAAUAUUUUAUUCUUGAAAAGUGCUUUGCUUUUAUGGAAAUGAAAGGAUAAAUGCAAAGAACUGCUUUUGUGACAAACUAUGCUGUGUUAUGUUAAUAUAAAAAAUAGCAGACCCCUUGAUGCCUUUGCUUGGAUUACAUGUGGGAUUAUCAGUGUUUCUAAGGCAAAGUAAAUAUAAGAACACUAGGUUAAGCUGGGUUCUUUAUAAUGGUACUUCUCGUGGUACGUAAUACUGUAAUAACACGUAUUAUAAACCUCCAAAGGGAGUUGUUGUUACCCAAAGUUGUGUACAUCUCAAGGACUGAUGUUUUCUUGGAACAUUUUUUUAAAAAGCCCUCCUCUCUUUUUUUAUCUUUUAUCUCUUAACCUUUUUCGUGAUACAUUGACUUUCAUAUAUGCCUGUAUCAUUCCUUAGACUUUUUCAUUCUUCAGAAGUUAUUCACCAGUAAAAUCUUAACUUUUCUAUUUGACUCUGACCACAACCUCAUCUCCAUUAAUCCAGCUACUUCUAUUCAAGGCUUCCAGUGUAGUGAUUUCUUUCCCUUCCUACUUUUGCCUUAUGUUCCUCCUCUCCCCUUUGCUCUCCCCUCCUGCUUUCCUUAGAUAACACUCCUGCUGCCUUCUUACCAGUCUCUACAGUUCUCUUGUCCCAUUGCCUUCCAACUCACCUUUCUGGGAAUAUCCGCCUCUGAAUGGUUCAGACAAUAUGCUUUAAAUAUUAUGGGUAGCUCCGCUGGGAAAAAAAAUCUUACAGACUGUCCAGUUGCUGCUAUUUUAUAAAUGCAUUAUGUUCUACUUCAAUAUCUGUUAGUUCUUCUCCUGCCCCUGUUUGCCCACUUCUUUAUGGUGGUUAUUUUAAACUUUUCUGUUUCUUGAAGCUUUGCUACUUUAAGCAGAUGGCCUUUGCAGCAAACAUAAAAGCCUUUUGGUGGAACUAGCUUGCUUCCUGCUCCCACCUCUGCUAGUCCUUGGCUCUGUCCUUCUUUUCAGAAUGGAAAAUGUUCCCUUCCUCCUUGUUCAGGCUUUGUUUGCUCUGGAUCUCACAAUCUCCUUUAUUUUCAGACUCUUCUUCAUUAUUAGAGCUUUGUCAUAAAUAUUUAAACGAGCUUCUUUUAGCCUGUCAUCCUUCCUUAGAAAUGUGCUAUCAUUUCUCUUCCCCAUUUACCACCAAGCUUCUUAAAAAUGUACUCUAUACUAACUUUCCUCAGCUCAUUACUCCCUUGUUUCUGCCCCUCCCACUUCACUGAAAUUGUACUAGCCCAGGUCACCAACCUGUUAACCCGUUGCCAUUGAGUCGAUUCCGACUUACAGACCUUUCUAUUUCUAAAUUCAUGAACUCUUUUGAUUACCGGCCUGAUUUUUCUGCAGCACUGAUGACUUCUUUCUUUUUUCUCCCCUCUACAAACUAAGGUAGUUGAGUACAGGACUACAUUUGUUAAAUAUCGUAUCCCUAAGGUCUCCAAACAUCUAGCACAUAGUAGAAGCUUAGCAUAUAUUUGCUGAAUAUUCACUCAAAGAAUGUAUAAGAGUACUUCAGUCUACUGAUGUCUGUUAUGACUCUGCUCUAGCCUUGUUUAUAUUUUCAUGUGUUUCCUUGUUUUUUAUUAUUAUUUUACUGUUUGGUUUUGUCUAGUACUUUUUCUACUUAUCUUUUCCUUAUUAUGUUCAAAAUAAUUUCCAUGUGGAAAGCUGUUAUCUCAUGUGAUUUGCCUUGUCAGUUUACUUUCCUUUUAAAAGUGGAGCUUUGUUAUCAAAAAGGGUUAGCCUGAUACUCCACGUGGAGAACAUUGGCCACAUGUAGCACUUAAAAUCACAGUGGUUGAAAAACAAGGGCUUUGGUUUUUUGAGGUCCAUAGGCAACAUAAGUGGUUUGGACUCUACUACAAAUCAAAAGGUUGGUGGUUUGAACCCACCAUGGAAUAAAGGCCUGGAUAUCUGCUUCCAUAAAGAUUACAACCAAGAAAACCCUAUGUCCAAAGAAUCUACAAAAAAGCUUCUAGAGUUAAUAGAGGAAUUUAACAAAGUUGCAAGGUACAAGGUCAAUAAACAAAAAUCUAUUGGAUUUCUAUACACCAGCAAUGAGAAAUAUGAAAGGGAAAUUAGGAAAACAAUUCCAUUUACAAUAGCAUCUAAGAGAAUAAAAUACCUAGGAAUAAAUCUAACUGGGGAUUUGAAGGACUAAAAUGAAAACUAUAAAACACUGCUGAAAGAGUUUAAAGAAAACUUAAAUAAAUGGAAAGAUGUUCCAUGUUCAUGGAUUGGGAGACUUAACAUUGUUAAAAUGUUGGUACUACUCAAAGCGGUGUAUAGAUUCAAUACAAUUCUGAUAAAAAUUCCAACAGCCAGCUUUACAGAAAUAGAAAAACCAAUUCUCAAGUUUAUAUGGAAUGGCAAGAGGGCUCAAAUAGCUAAAGCAAUGUUGAAAGAGAAGACCAUAGUGAGAUAACUCACACUUCUAAUUUUAAAACAUACUAUACAGCUUCAGUAAUCAAAACAGCCUGGUACUGAUACCACAUUUGUCACAUAGACCAAUGGAAUAGAAUUGAGAGUCCAGAAAUAAACCCAUACUUCUUUGGUCAACUGAUUUUUGACAGGGGUGCUCAGUCCAUUCGAUAGGGAAAGAAGAGCCUUUUCAAUAAACAGUGUCGGGAAAAUUGAAUUUCCACAUGCAGAAUACUAUUUACAAAAACAAAUUCAAAAUGGUUUAAGGACCUGAAUGUGCAAACUAAAACCAUAGAAUUCUUAGAAGAAAAUGCAGGGCCACACUGUCAGGCCUAGCUUUCAGCAGUGGAUUAUCCAAUAUAAUAACAAAAGCACAAACAGCAAAAGACAAAUAAGUGGGACAUCAUAAAAAUUAAAAACUUUUGUUCAUCAAAAGACUUUACCAAAAAAGUGAAAAGACAAGCUACUGAGUGUGAGAAUAUUUUCUGAAACCAUGUAUCUGACAAGCACCUAGUAAUCAAAAUGGAUAUAAAACUUUUACAACUUAACAAAAAGACCAGUAACCCAAUCAUAAAAUGUACAAAGGACUUGAGUAGACAUUCUACCAAAGAGGAUAUUUAGAUGGCCACCAAACACAUGAAAAGAUACUUAACAUCAUUAACCAUCAGAGAAAUGGAAAUCAAAACCACAGUGAGAUAACUGUUUCAUUCCCACUAGGAUGGCUAAGAUCUAAAAAAACAAAAUAACAAAUGUUGGCAGGGAUAUGGGGAAAUUGGACCCCUUAUCCAUUGCUGGUAGGAAUGCAAAUUGGUACAGCCAUUGUAGAAAACAGUGUGGUGGUUCCUCAAAAAAACUAAAAAUGGAUCUACCCAGCAAUUCCACUUCUAGGUAUAUUCCCGAAAGAUUUAAAAGCAGAAACUCAGACUUGUACACCAGUGUUCAUUUCACCACUAUUCAUAAUAGCCAAAAGGUGGAAACAACCUAAAUGCUCACCAGCAGAUGGCUGGAUAAACAAAAUGUGAUACAUCCCUACAAUGGAAUACUACUCAGCCAGUAGGAGAAAUGAUGUCUUGGUACAUGCUAUGAUAUGGAUGGAGCUUGAAGACAUUAUGCUGGGUGAAAUAAGUCAAUCACAAAAGGACGUAUAUUGUAUGACCUCACUUAUAGAAAAAGGCAAGAAAAAGGCAAAUAUAUAGAGAACAAAGUUUAUUAAUGUUUACUUACCAGGAGUGGGAAGGAGGGGUAAAGGGGAAUUAAUGGUGAUGGAAUUAUUAUGUAGUAGGGUUUUUUUUGUUUGUAGGGUAGGGUUGCACAGCCGAUUAUUGUAAUUGCUGUCAGUAAGUUCUACGCCUAUAAAACGUUGAAUUAGCAAAGUUUUGUGAUACAUUUACAAUAACAACAGGUUUAGAGUCAUGGUUUCAUGGGACAUCUCAGGUAAUUGGCCUAAAAACAUGUUUAGUGCCUCUUUUCUACCUCCUAGCUUGAUGCGUGAUGCCUGGGGUUUUAAAAGCUUGCAAACGGUCAUUCCAAGGCCCAACAAUUGGUCUCUAUUAGCCUGGAACAACAGAGGAAGAAGGAGAGCCAGGAAUAGGAGGAGGGUAUGGAAUGUGUGGCUAAUUGCCUCCGUGAAUAACUGCGUCCUUUGCCAUGAGACCAACAGAACUAGAUGAUGCCUGGCUACCAUUACUGGACGUUUUGAUCGGUGAUUCCAUAGAAGAAUCCUGAUCAAAAUGGGGAAAACGUAAAACAGAAUUUCAAAUUUUCAUGGACUCCAGACUUCUUGGAGCCGUGAAGGUUGAAUGAACUUCUGAAACUAUUGCCCUGAGAUAAUUUUUUAAACCUUGAACCAAAUAUAUCUCCUAAAGUCUUCUUAAAACCCACCAGUAGUUUAACUAGUAAAAAAUGUCUCCGUUGAGCAUUAUGCUCAUUUAAGAGCUAUCUACAUGGGAUCAAGUUGACAACAGCAACUCAACAGAUUAGGUAGGAACUUUAGGGGGCAGUGAGGUUAUGUUAAUAGGUGAGGAACAGCUCAGAAAAGGAGAGUGAGAAUGGUUGUAUAACUUGAACAUAAUCAGUGUCAAUAAAUGCUACAUGUAGAAAGUAUUGAAUUGGUGUAUAUUUUGUUGUGUAUAUUCUCAACAACAACAAAAUAAAUAAAAUUAUUUAAAAGAGAGAAACCAUUGGAGUUCAGUUCUGCUCUGUAACACCUGGUGCUGCCAUGAGUCAGAAUUGACUUGAGGGCAGUGGGUUGGUGUUGGUUUUAUUGAGGAGGGUUUGAAGAAUGCUAUGUGUGACUUUAGGCACGUUACCUAACUUUUCUGAAUCCCCUUUCUUCGAUGGUGAAAUGGAAAUAAUAUGUUCCUUGCGAUUUGACAAGAAACAAAUGAGGUAACAGAGUAAAAGUUCACGUUACCUAACUUCCCUGAUUCCAGUUUCUUCGAUGGUAAAAUGGAAAUAAUACGUUCCUUGUGGCGUAGUGGUUAAGUGCUAUGGCUGCUAACCAAAGGGUCGGCAGUUCAAAUCUGCCAGGCGCUCCUUGGAAACUCUAUGGUGCAGUUCUCCUCUGUCCUAUAGGAUCGCUAUGAGUUGGAGUCGACUCAGUGGCACUGGGUUGGGUUGUGAUGUGACAAGGAACAAAUGAAUAACAGAGUAAAAGUUCUUAGUGUUGUGCCUUGUUAUUUAUUUAAAAAAAAAAGUAAUAAAUGUCCUGAGGUUCACCCUUCAGCCAAAGAUGAGAUAGGCCCAUAAAACAAAACGAGACUAAAGGGACAAGCCAGCCCAGGGGCAAGGACUAGAAGGCAGGUGGGGACACAAAAGCUGGCAAUGGGGAACCCAAAGUUGACAUGGGGAGAGUGUUGACAUGUAGUGGGGUUGUUAACCAGUAUCUUAAAACAAUAUGUGUACUAACUGUUUAAUAAGAGACUAGAAACCUUCAUCUAAAAUACAAUAAAAAAUAAGGAAGGAAAAAACCAAUAAAUGGAGUUAUGGUUAUUAAUAGUAGCAGCAGUGGUAUAUUAUUUGUCUAUAAUAAUCUCAUAUUCUUAUGGUGGAGUUGUCCUAUAUUACCUUUAAGGAAUUUUUUUAGCUUUUUUUUCUUUGUUUGAACUUAUAUAUACCAAGUUCUGGGACUAUAUUAGGAUCGUUAGAUCAGGGACAGUCUUUUUUAAUAGAUAUGUAUUUGUCUUACUGCCAUUCUCAGAUAACUAGGAAUAGAAUUUACAGGUAGUCCCUGACUUAAGAUGGGGUUCAGUUCUGACUUAAGUCAAAUACCUCAUUUUUUUUUAAGUUUUUAUUAUUAUUAUUGCCUUUUAUGGUCAGUAUCUUUAUAGGUCUGGAGCCCUGGUGGCAUAAUGCUAACCAAAAGGUCAGCCAUUCAAAUUCACCAGUCGGUCCUUGGAAACCCUAUGGGGCAGCUCUGCUGUCUCCGAUAGGGUUGCCAUGAGUCGGAAUCAACCUGUGGCAACAGGCUUUUUUUUUUUUUAAAUAAAUCUGAUCUUUGUGUUUGGGGUUGGAAACAUUACAUAUAAACUUACAGAUAUAUUUUAAUGCAUAUAUUAAAAAAUGUAGAAAUCAUAAAAAUUUACUCUCAUGACGAAGAGUUGGGUGACAUUGGCAUUUUGUCGGUUGCAGUAAUAAUUCCACUUGCCCUAGAUCCCAUGGAUUAUCCCUGGGAAUGGGGAUGAUGUUUCUAGUCUGAAAAUCAGUGAGAGUUGUGUGUAUGGUCCUUUUCUUAUUUUCUGCACAUAUUUUGUGGUAACGUCUCACUGCUUCCCGAAUCUGCCUGUCAACUUUAGCAAAGCUGUCAGAGUUUGAGUCCAUGUUUUCAAACAACUGAAGCCCCUGAUUUAGUUUAGAAAAAACUCCAGCUAACCCUUUCACUGAAAAAUUUCUCUCCUUCCUCUUCCUCAUUAUUUCUUUCUCCUUCAGCAUUUCUUUCCUCUUCGAAGUUCAUGAAGUCCUGAUCUAAAUUCCCCUUCUUCGUGAUCUUUGAGCUGUUCCACAUUGACAAUAUCGAGUUCUAAAUUCAGUGUCAUUGCCAUAGGGAUGAUUUUUCCACCAGUCUCUUCCUUCAUAUUAUCCUGAUCAAUGCCUGGAGCCUGUUCACAUAACUCAGCAAUUUUUUCCUAUCCCCUGCAUGCAUUUUCCCGUAACUUCCUCCCAGGAAGAUGGAAUGUUCCAGAUAUGCUGACGGUCAGAAAUGCGGUUCAUCAUUACUCAAAUACACCUUAAAUCAGAAACUACAUGUAUUUGUUGCAGUUUCAGUGAUUUUUUAAACAAAUUUUGUUGUGCUUUAGGGUUAAAGCUUAGCUCAAGUGAUUUCUCAUUCAAAAAUUUAUACACAUAUUGUUUUGUGACAUUGCAAUCCCGACAAUGUGCCAGCACGCUCCCCCUUUCCACCCUGGGUUCUCUGUGUGUAUUUGUCCAGUUUUGGCUUUAAAAAAAUUGAAAUACUCUUGAUGCCAUGAUAGGUAUUAUAAACUGUCUUAAGGGAAACAAAAUCUCUCAAGAGCAUUAGAAAUCUGUAAGCAUAAUUUCUGGUAGAAGGUAAAUUUGCUUUCUGAGAGGAGCAUCGUGACCUAGACGCUAACGUGAAGGAUGUAUAUAGAGGAACGAAGGAAUAGGCUAGAGAGGUAGUCAGGUGACAUCAUGAAACUCAGUGCAGCUUGACUUUGGUCCUGAAAGCUGUGGCAAGUUAGAAGGAUUUUAAACAGGAAGUGGUGGAAUCAGAGGGAGAAAGAUACCCCUAGUAAACUGGAGGGGUGAUUAAAUUAGGAGGCUCUAGGGAGAAACGACGGAGGGCAGACUGAAAGACCGGUGGUACCUGUUUCAUCUUCAUACAAGAACACUUUUGAAAUAGGUGCUUUUCUUGAUAAAACAUGAGGUACUUUUCUUUGAUUUUAGAUCCAAAUAUGGACAAAAUUUCUUUUUUUUUUAUGUUAACUUAUUUCAGAUCCCCAGAUUCCCCGUUGAGGUAAGAUGGAAAUGAGAGAACAAUUUAGAAUCUGGGAAUUUUGGCUCUGUACUGUAAAAUGAGUUUGAAAAUGAUAUAAUGCCAUACAAAGCCAAUAAGAUAAGAACCCUCUAGUUUUCUGCUUUCCCUGUUUGUUAUCUGCACUGUUUCUUCUUGACAAUUAGCCUUUCCUCUCCACUAUUUUCGGCAGUUGGUGUGAAGCUACAAGUUAUGGUAGCACUCAGAAAUGUGUCACAUGAGUAAUUCUCUCUCAUUUUAAAUGCUAACACAGGAAAAUGCUUUCCUUGGUGUGAGAAGUUAUUUAUUUUUGUGUUGUAUUUGGGAGAUAUGUGCAGUAUAUCCUGAUUUUGUGGCUAUAUGGAUAUACCCUUUAAUACAAAUCUUUGUGAAGCUUUGAAAGGGAAUUCUAAGUUAAUAAUCUUUUAUUUAAAAUUUUCUGUUAUAUCAUUUUGUAAAUAAUAUUUUUAAUGAUCAUUUUGACCUGUUUGUUGUUUGAAGGGCUUCUUGAUGAUUAUGCUGUAGUCCUCUGCUGUAUGGGUCCUGGGCUAGCUUUCCACUCUUCUGUGAUCUGGCAAGAUGCUAAUACGCCUUUUGCUUUUUCAGUUCCAGCUGAGGCUUACGUAGAGUAGCAGUGAGGUAUGAUGACUUCAUAGAGAGAGGCUACUUGUUUGUUCUUUUGACAUGAUUAAUAAUAGCCAACACUUGUUUAUAUUUUAUUUUGUGCCAGACACUGUUCCAAGUGGUGCAUGUUUAUUAACUCUUGAAAUCUUCACAACUCUGUGAGGUAGAUACUCUUUUUUCUUGUUUUAUAGAUGAGCAGACAGAGGUGGAGAGUCGUUGAACCCAGGGUCAUCACAAAGUGACAGAGUCUGGGUUUGAACCUAGGAGCCAGGCCCCAGAAUCCAUGCUUUUAACCAUACAUCAUACUGACUCCAUCUCUAUAGUUUUAUAUUUUGCUUGUGUAGAAUUAAAGAUUUUGUUUUAUUUUUGUUGUGUGUGUGUAUUCUGAAUAAACUUUUUUUGUCAGUCUCAACUUUCCUAAUGCUUUUAUUUGCCGUUGAAUAAUAAGGGAGAGGGCAGGGAAGUAGAUUUCUUUUAUAUUUGAAAUAAAUUCAUUCAGACUGCUUUGAACUGUUGAUAGUUAGCUUGCUACUCCUCUCUCACUUCUUCCUGUAGUUUCUGACUUCAGUAUUGCUACUUGAAUACCGGCUAUUUCCCAGGUCCCUUGGGAACACUGAGAACCAGCUGUUACAGGGGAAAACAGCUCUGAUCCACCUGGGUUGAUAGGUGGAGAAUGCCUUGCCAGUUUUUGGGGGUAACUUCUGUAGAGAAAAUUGGGAUUGCUUUUCCCUUACUGGUUUGGUAGGAUUAUUACUUAACCACGCACAGAUGUCCAGGUGCCAGCACCUGAUAAUAAGGAAUAUAAUUUUCCAUGUGUGAAAUUCAAACUUCGGUGGUAAGCUGCUUCAAAAGGAAGAUUCACCAUGACUUUUUAACUAAUAAAUUAGUUAAGUAAUUUAUAUAUGGCCUGACAUCUUUGAAUUUACCGUUCUCCUACAUAAACACAUAUGACCGCUUGAAAUUGAGACAGUAAGACUGUGGUUAACUCAAGAAAAGGGACAACGUUCCUCUACUUAGCUCACAGUCUUCACUUCCUUCCAUCUGACUUCCAAUUGCCCUUAAAAAGUUCCUGCUUCCAGAAAGCCUUUUUUAAAAUCAUCUUAGAAUUUUUUCAGGUAGAUGACUUCAUGUUUCCCUUGUUCUCAGUCCUCAUUAAUUGGUCACAUUGCUUUGUAUGUAUUCUGUUUUGUUCCUGUGUUGGUGUUUGAGGAAAGGGCUUUCUCUUUAAUGAUUUUGGUACAACCUUUGAGCAAUAUGACACUAAAUGUUGACUGGAAGCCCCUGGUGGCACAGUGGCUAAGAGCUUGGCUUCUAACUGAAAGGUGGGCAGUUCAAAUCCACCAGCCGCUCCUUGGAAACUCUAUGGGGCAGUUCUGUUCUGUCCUAUAGGCUCACUAUGAAUUUGAAUCAACUCGAUGGCAAUGGGUAUAUAUAAAUGUUAAUAUUAUGGGAUUAAUCACACCGUGCAAACAUUUUGAAUUACGUGAAUUUCUCAGAAUAAUUGAGACAUUUCAAUCUUCAAGGAAUGGUAGAGACGGAAUUAAUGGGUGUUACUCUCCAUUGUAAUGGAAACAGAAUUGCAGCAUUUUGUUUUUGUUGUUGAUUUGUGAUUUAGGAGAACUGAAUGUUGCUGAGUAUGACUGUUCCAGGGGGGUUUCUUGGCUGUAAUCUUUACAGAAGCAGGACACUGGGUGCUGGGUAAGUUGUUUUAAGUUAUAGUUCCGAAAGUCACAGUCCAAGAUAGAUCCUAGACCAAAAACCGUUGCCAUCUAGUCUAUUCCGACUCAUAGUGACACUAUAGGAUAGAAUAGAACUGCGCAUGGUGUUUCCAAGGCUAUGGCAUAGUGGUUAAGAGCUAUGAUAAAAGGUCGGCAGUUUGAAUCCACCAGCCGCUCCUUGGAAACCCCGUGGAGCAGUUCUUCUCUGUCCUUACAGGGUCGCUGUGAAUUAGAAUCGACUUGACAGCAACGGACAACAACAUCAACCUUUAUGGAAGCAGACUGCCACAUCUUUCUCCCUCCCAUGGAGCUGCUGGUGGGUUCGAACCACCAACCUUUCAGUUAGCCGAGUGCUUAACCACUGUUCCACCUGGGCUCCUAAAAUGGGUCCUGUUGGACUAAAAUCAAAGAGUUGUUCCUUCUGGAGGCUUUAGGGGAGAAUCCAUUUUCUGGCCUUUCCAGACUUUGAGCAAUCCUUGGCUCAUGGCCUCCUACCAUCUUCAAAGCCAGUAAUCAUGUCACACCCACCUUUGCUUCUGUUAUCACAUGUCUUUCUUUGACUCUCCUGCCUUCCUCUUUCAUUUAUGAGAAUCCUUGUGAUUACAUUGGGCCCACAAAUAAUCCAUGAUAAUCUUCCCAUUUCAAGACCCUCAACCUAACCACAUCUGAAAAGCCCCCUUUACCAUGUGAGGUAACAUAUUCACAGGUUCUGGGGGUUAGAAUGUAGACCUCUUUGGGGGCCAUUUUCUGCCCCCUCCCCGCCCCCUGCCCAAUAGCUAUAUAGGCAGGAACAGUGCCUCAGGUCACACCUUAGAAUUUAGCCUGUUAAGACACUUCUGUGUGUAGGUCCUUGAUGUUAUCCAUAACUUGCAGCCUCAGCCCCUGACACUGCACUCAUGUUGGACCACUGCUAUUGGAAAUUGGAUGUAGUUGCUGCCACUGUUCAGGAUGGACUCACCACAGUCCCCACUUUCUCUCAUCACCUCCCACAUAAGUUUGGGGGUGGGUGUGUCUCAUCGAUGGAGCCUAAAUCAUGUGUCUAUACCCUGGUUGUUGUUGUGCACUGUCAAGUUGAUUCUGACUCAUAGUGACCCUAGAACUCAUAGCAGGAUAGAACUGCCCCCAUAGCGUUUCCUAGGCUGUAAUUUUUUUACGGGAGCAGAUCCCUAGGUAUUUUCUCCUGUAGAGCUGCUGGUGGAUUUGAACUGCUGACCUUUCAGUUAGGAGCCAAGUGCUUAACCAUUGUGCCACCACAGAUCCUUGUCUAUACCCUACCUGCAAGGGUAACUGGUAAACGUAUAACGGUAAGCAGGUUCUGCCUUAUAAUUGGGGGAUUCCUUAAAAAUAGGAAGGGAAAUUCACCUGCCGGGCUUCAAAAAAGAAUGCCAGCCAGAGAGAGCAUGUAAGUAACAGAGAAUAUGAGGAUUCUGUUUAUUGGACGAACUCUGUGCCAGGGAUACACACAUGAAAGAGAUGCGUUUCUGUUCCGGUGGCAGCCAGAGUAGGCGUGGAAAGCCAUGUUCUUGUGCUCGUAGCCUAAUGUAAAUCAGUGCUAUUUUUCUCAGACCCUACAUGAUAGGAAGCCAGCUCUGGUAUGUGAAGGCUUUUCAAUCAGCGUCCUUUACCUGUUCACCGAAAAUGGCUAUCGGCUGUACCUUUGCUUUUUGAAUAGUGACAGAAGAACAGUUGGCGGGUCAGGUUUUGAGGUCUUCCCCUCUCACUCCAGUAUAUUAUCAAUAACAGUGGUAUUGAUACAGAGCUGCUCUGUCCAGUAUGGUAGCCACUUGCUACAUGUGGUUUUUAAAUUCAUUUAAAUAAAUAAAAUUGGAAAUUUAUUUCCUCAUCACAGUAACCGCAUUUCAAGCGCCCAGGUGGCAAGUGGCUGCUACAUUGGGCAGCCCAGACCUAUACCAGUCAUGUUGCAUGUUUAGUGUGUGAGUAUCAGUCCAGUAAAAAGAAAAUGAUUAUAGGCUCUCUUCUUUUUUUUUUUUUAAACCUCUGAUAUUUUUUCAUUUUCAUGUGAUGCUUUAGAGUUCACCACAUCCAUUUACAUGUAUUAUGUUAACAAAACAAACCCUGCAAAAUAAGCAUAAUUAACCCUCGCUUAAAGCUCAGAGAAACCAAAGGUCAAACAAGUGUAACAGAAGUUGAAUUAAUUAAUUCCAUUCAGUACAACAUGAGGUACCUAGGGUGCUCCAUGCUAUAGUAAAUGGUAGGAUACUGAAAAGGCUGUGUCUUCUGCCUGGGUCUGGACAGGUUCUUGUAGAAUCUUUCUGCAGGAGUUGGCAAGGGGUGGCAAGUAGAACAACCUGGGGAAGGGCCAAGUGUAGUUUUCUGUGAGAGCUCAUUACCAGCAUACUCCAGCUGUCGUGCCCCUACCUCUUAGAUCCUACAGCUUGGGCUGGGGCCUCACCAUCUGAAGGAUGAACCUAAAUCUUCCCAGGGAGUCUUCCCCAGGCUGAUCCUCAGUCAGUUCAGGCUGUGGUCACACUAGAUUAUUUUAUAUGGUUACUCGCUUAUUGUAUUCUUACCUCCCACAAGCCCUAACCCAGCAGGAACUGUGUGUGCUUUCUUUAGUGUUCUAUCUCAAGGUGUAGAAUAGUGUCUAAAAUAUGGUAGGUCUUCAAUAAGUAUUUGUUGAAGGAAUCAAUGGUAAAUUAUUCUGUAAAUGUUUCUAUCAUAAGCAAGGUUGUUGCUCUGGAGAUUUUUUCUCCCCUAAAAUCUUACUGGUUUUAGGAAUUAAAUCUUGUGAUGCUUUCUCUCUCACAUUGUUGAAAUAAGUAAUCCCCUCAUGAAAGGUUUAUACCUGCACUGUUCAGUAUAGUAGCUACUAGCCACGUGUGGCAAUUGAGUACUUAAAAUGUAACUGCUUUGAUUAAGGAACUGAAUUUUAAAUUUCAUCUAAUUUUAAAGUUAAUUUAAAUUUUUAAAAAAGUUAUACUUGGUUGAGUUAUUGGAAAACUUUUAGGUAUGUUUGGAACAAUUGGGUGUGUAAAAUUUACCUUUUCAACAGUAAAUUUUAGGAGAUCUAAAUAUAGAUCAGGUAUUUCCAGUGAAAAUUUAGUUACUGAAUUGAAGGUGUUGUAAAUGUAAAAAACAUACCAGAUUUUGAUGACUUAGUAUGAAAAAAAGAAUUUAAAAUAUUUAAUAGCUGUUAUACUGACUACCUGUUGAAAGGAUAAUAUUUUGGAUAUACUAGGUUAAAUAAAAUAUAUUGUUAUAAUUAACUUCACCUGUUUCUUUUUACUUUUUUAAUGUGACUACUAGAAAAUUUCAAAUUACAUACAUGGCUUGUGUUAUAUUUCUACUGGACAGUGGUAGUAUUGACCAUAAAGAGUUUCAUCAAAGGAUUUUGACUGUUUAAAAAAAAAAAUUAUAAAGUCAUAUUUAUCACCCUCAGGUUUUUUUUUUUUAAUUUAAUAUAUGCUUUUAAAAUAUACAAAUAAAAUCUUAACUAAAAGUUGGAUUCAUUCAACAUAUUUGUUCAGGAAGUUGGGGCUAUAGUAUAAAUUAAUGCUUUCAGAGAUUAUUUGAAGACAUAACAUAUUAGGAUGUAGUAUAUGCCAUAAAAAUUUUUUUUUUUUUGCAUAAGAGGGGUAAAUUGAACAGUUUGAGGACUUUGCAAAAAGGUCUGGGAAAGUUUUAUGAAGUAGGGAGAAUUUUGUUGGGGACUAGAGGAUAUUCCAGGCAGAAAAAAUAUAAUUAAAAAAAAAAAAAAAGGCACAAGUAGAGUCAGAAGUGUCUUGAGCAGAAUUCAUGGAGGGAGGCAGGAGGAGACAAGGUUGGAAGCUAAAUUGGGGAUAUUGAAUGCCAGGCUACUUAGUUCAGGAUGUAUCUAUAGAUAAUGAAAAUUUAAUGUUUCUGAGGUAGAAAUUCAUGUGUUUAGAAUUAUUUGGUAUGAUAGAUUUGAGUACAAGUAAAAUCAUGGAGACCAUAUAGGGAAAUUUUGCCCAAAUCCAUGUAAGAAACAGUGAAAUCCUGAAUCAGCAUAUGGAAAAUAUCUGAGAGAGAUAUUACACAGGUAUAAUCAAUGGGACUUUAGUAACUAGUUAGGUAUGAAGAGUCAAUAAUUAUAUCGAGGUUGGCCCUGAAGAAGUGGUAGCACUUUUAAUAGAAAUAAGGAAUACAAGUAUGAGUGUUGAAGGGAAUAUUUAAUGAAUAUACAUGCUCAGGUACCCAGUAGUUAUUUGGAAUGGUACUGUCCUCAUUAGUGGUGAGACUUGAAUCUACAAGUUAGGAAGGAACUGUAGAAGUAUAAGGGUAUUAGGAUCAAAUCCUUAGAGAACAGGAUUAAAGGGUCAGUUUUCACUCUUAAUGAUUUUGUUACUUUAGGUGGAAAGAGAAAGAAAAAAGGAAAAAUGUCCUAUCAGAAAGGUGGAGGAUGGGGGCAGGACAAGCUAAAUGAGCUUUCCACGUUACCAAGUCCAGUGGUCAGUUCUCGGGCAUCAUUUACUUGAUGCAUCAGCAGCAUUUUUUGAUUUUGCCCUUCUUGACAGUCUUCCUUCAUUUGGCUUCCAGUAUACCACAUUCAGCAGAUUUCUUUCUUACCUCUCUGGCCAUUAGUUCUCAGUCUCCUUUACUGUUUUUUACUUCUCAUCUCUAGCCUCUAAAUGUUGGAGUUUCUCAGACUUCUGUGCAUCUGCACUCCUUUGACUAUCUUAUCCUGUCUUCUAUAUGUUGAUGGCUCCCAGGUAAGAUAUCUGUAGUCUAAAUUCUCAGACUCUUUAACAAACUGAUGAUUACAUCCACUUGGAUGUCUAAUAAUCAUCUCAAACUUACCAUCAUCGUUAUAAAAAAUAAUAGCAGGGGCUUGUAUAGCACUGUAUGCUAAGCAUGGUUGUUCCCAAGUGGAUUUUUCCCUAAAACCUACUUCUGUAUUCUUUCCACUAUUCCAAUUGUUUAGGCUGAAAACCUUGAAAUCAUCUUUGAUUUCUUCUCUUUUUUCACUCAGCAUUCAAUCCAUCGACAACGCUAUUGACCAGAGUCUGAGCACCUUUUAAAACCUCCACUGCCGCCAUAUGAAUUCAAGCCAGUCAAAUCUCAGCAUAGCAGCCAGGCUGAACGUGUAUAAAAUCUGUAUUAGAUAAUGUGAUAUUUUUGCUCAGUUUCUCCAAAGGUUUCCCCAUCUGUCAGACAUCCAGGUCAAGUUGAGCCACUGAAUGACUGUAAUCAUAUUCAUGUGUGACUUAGCAGAAGCACAGCCUAGCAGGUCCUGCCAGAAGUGCAGCUGCGGUCAUCCACUGGCUUAAUUUGACUGGAUGAUUUAAGACAGCCUUACUCAAAUGUCCGUGGCCUCAGCUGGGAUGGCUGUGAUAAUGGGGAAAUCUGGACCUCUUUUUCCAAGUGAUCUCUCAUCCUCCAGGAGGCUGUCUUUGGCCUCCUAACAUAGUAAUGGUUUUAUAAAAGGGAAAUCCCAAAUGGGCAAGUGCUUAUCAAGCCUCUGCUUGUGACACAUUUACUGAAGUCCAGUUGGUUAAAGCUAGUCAUAUGGCCAACUCCAGAGUCAAUGUGAGAAAAGAAUUUGCAAGGGUAUGGAAACCAGGAGAUAACAUGAUUCAUUGGGGGCCAUUAAUAAAACAAUCUUCUGCCGGCCUUAUAUGAUCUGUAUCAAGGUUUAAUUUAUUAAAUUAUUUUAUUAUAAUAUAGCAUACCUUUCUUUAGACAUACAGGGAAAUAAUCAAGAAAAAAGGAGCCCAACUAGAUAUAACUGAUUUCUGGAAGUAUGGGCUAAAUUAAACAAUGAUUUGAUGGAAAGGAGUCAGAUUUGACUGUUGUGUAGCUUUUAUUUACUUUUUAAUUUCAGUGACUUCCUAGAAGUAGAAAAUAUACUGUAUGUACCAUUAAUGAUUUACAGAAUUUUUUCAUUAAACUAGAUAGUAUCUUAAAUAUAAUGGCUAGCUGUCUGAGUUAUUUAACUUGUCCAUCUCCUAUAUUAUCCCCUGCUCCAGAUCAGGAAGUUAUGCUUUGUUUUUCUCUAAUUUAUAUGGUGUUUACAUUACAGGCAUACCUUGUUUUAUUGUGUUUUGCAAAUAUUCUGGUUUUUUUUUUUUUUUUAAAGGAAGAUUUGUGGCAACCCUCUGUGGAGCAAGUCUUAUCAGUGCCAUUUUUCCAACAGCAUGUGCUCACUUCGUGUCUCUGUGUCACGUUUUGGUAAUUCUCGCAAUAUUUCAAACCUUUUCAUUAUCAUUAUAUCUGUUUUGAUGAUCUGAAAUCGGUAAUCGUUGAUGUUACUAUUGUAAUCGUUGUGAGGCACCACGAAUCAUGCCCAUAUAAGAUGGUGAACUUAAUAAAUGUCGUGUGUGUUCUGACUGCUCCACCGACUGCCGUUCCCCCAUCUCCCUUUCCAGGGCCUCCCUAUUCCCGGAGACACAACAGUGUUGAAGUUAGGCCACUUAAUAACCCUAGAAUGGCCGCUAAGUGUUCAAGUGAAAGGAAGCGUCUCAAGUCUCUCACUUUAAAUCAAAAGCUAGAAAUGAUUAAGCUUGGUGAGGAAGGCAUGUCAAAAGCUGAAAACUAGGCCUCUUGCGCCAAACAGUUAGCCAAGUUGUGAAGGCAAAGGAAAAGGUCUUGAAGAAAAUUACAGGUGCUGCUCCAGUGGGCACACGAAUGACAAGGAAGUGAAACAGCCUUAUUGCUGAUGUGGAGAAAGUUUUAGUGGUCUGGAUAGAAGAUCAAGCCAGCCACAGCAUUCCCUUAAGCCAAAGCCUAAUCCAGAGCAAGGCCCUUAACGCUUCAACUCUGUGAAGGCUGGCAUAGGCGAGGAUGCUGCAGAAGAAAAGUCUGAAGCUAGCAGAGGUUGGUUCAUAAGAUUUAAGGAAAUAAAACCAUCUCUAUAACAUAAAAGCACAAGGUGAGGCAGCAAGCGCCGAUGUAGUGGCUGCGGGAAGCUACCCAGAUGGUCUCGCUAUGGUAGUUCAUAAAGGGGCUAUGCUGAGCAGUGGAUUUUCACCACAGACGGAAUGGCCUUGUGUUGGAAGACGAUGCCGUCUAGGGCUUCCACAGCUAGAGAGCAGAGGUCAGGGCCGGGCUCGAAGCUUCAGAGGGCAGAUCAACUCUCUGGUUAGGGGCUAAUGCAGCUGGUGACUUCACGUUGAAGUCACUGCUCAUUUACCAUUCUAAAAAUCCGAGGGCCCUUAAGAAUUAUGCUAAAUCUACUCUGCUUGUGCUCUAGAAAUGGAACAACAAAAUCUGGAUGACAACACAUCUGUUUACAGCAUGAUUUACUGAAUAUUUUAAGCCCACUAUUGAGACCUACUGCACAGAAAAAAAGGGAUUCCUUUUAAAAUAUUACUGCUCGUUGACGAUGCACUUGAUCACCCGAGAGCUCUUACAGAGAUGUGCAAGGAUAUUAAUGUUGUUUUCAUGCCUGCUAACACAGCAUCCAUUCUGUAGCCCAUGGAUCAAGGAGUAAUUUCAACUUCCAAUUCUUAUUAUUUAAGAAAUACGUUUUGUAAGGCUAUAGCUGCCGUAGAUGGUGAUUCCUCUGAUGAACCUGGGCAAAGUAACUUGAAAACAUUCUGGAAAGGAUUCACUAUUCUAGAUGCCAUUAAGGACAUUUGUGAUUCAUGGGAGGAGUUCAAAAUAUCAACAUUAACAGGAGUUCAGAAGAAGUUGAUUCCAACCCUAGUGGAUGACUUUGAGGGGUUUCAAGAUUUCAAUGGAGGAAGUAACUGCAGAUGUGGUGGAAAUAGCAAGAGAACUAGAAUUAGACGUGGGACCUGAAGAUGUGACUGAAUUGCUGCACUGUCCUGAUAAAACUUUAGCAGAUGAGGAGUGCUUCUUAUGGAUGAGUAAAAGAAAGUGGUUUCUUGGAUGGAAUCUGUUCCUGGUGAAGAUGCUGUGAACAUUGUUGAAAUGACAGCAAAGCAUUUAGAAUAUUACGUAAGCUUAGUUGAUAAAGCAGUGGCAGGGUUUGAGAGGUUUAAUUCCAAUUUUGAAAGAAGUUCUGCUGUAGGUAAAAUGUUACCAAAGAGCAUCGUAUGCUACAGAUAAAUCUUUCGUGAAACCGAUGUGGCAAGCUUCAUUGUUGUCUUAAGACACUGCCACGGCCACCCCAACCUUUAGCAACCACCACCUUACCAGCCAGCAGCCAUCAACGUCGAGGCAACACCUACCACGAGCAAAAAGAUUACAACUCACUUAAGGCUCAGAUGAUGGUUAUCAUUUUUUAGCAAUGAAGUAUUUUUUAAUUAAGGUCGCUGUAGGGUUGCUAUUAGUUGGAACUGCUUUGAUGGCGCCUGGCAGUAACAUUGUUAUUUUAGACAUAGUGUUGUGGCAAACUUAAUAGACUACAGUAUAGUAUAAACAUAACUUUCAUAUGCACUGGGAAACCAAAAAAAAUUUGUGUGACUUACUUUAUUGCAAUAUUCACUAUAUUAUGGUGGUAUGGAACUGAGCUCGCAAUAUCUCUGAGGUAUGCCUGUAUGUGAACGAGUUUUUUGUAUAUUGCUAAUUGAAAUGGUCCUGAAAGUUAUGUUGGGCAGAUAAUAACAUUUUUAUCCUUGAGGUGAUGUUCAGAUUUUGCACAUAAAGAUUUCUGAACAAAAAUUUGUUUAUAGAGAAUCAAUUUGUUAUCACAACAAAUAAACAAGGUAUAAUUUGGGGAGCUGGAAACCCUGUUGGCAUAGUUGUUCAGAGUUAGGCUGCUAACCAAAAGGCCAGCAGUUGGAAUCUACCAGGCACUCCUUGGAAACCCUGUGGGGCAGUUCUGCUCUGUCCCGUAGGGUCACUAUGAGUUGGGAUCGACUUGAUGGCAAUGGGGUUAAUUUGAGGAGUUUUUAAGAUUUAUCUAAAGCACAUUCUCCAUGAGUCAGAGAAAAUGGUAUUUUUGUCAAUGUCCUAUUCCAACAGAACUGAAAAAGAAAUAAUGAUAAAUUUUGGAUAUUCCAAAGCCCUUUUGAUUUCUUUGUGAUUUUUAACACCUCCAUUUUUAACCUUUAAUUUUAGAUUUCUCAAACUGCUGGUGCCAAAUGAUAAAUUUCAAAAUUCUCUUUUCUGUAUCAUGCAUAUAUGGUAGUAAAGGAAAAAAAAGUACAUUUCAUCAGGUUAAAUCCUGCUCACCUGCCCCCUCAUGAGAAUUUUUUAAAAUGAGUUUUAUAAGAAGAAAUACUAACUCCUAAACGUCUUCUUUAAAUAUGAGUUGAUUGAUAUUUAUUGCAAAUUGGAAAUUAGUUACAUUUAAUUGGAAGGGUAAUUUUUUUUGUUGUUGUUAUAUAUUUAUUUGUCAUGUAAAAUUAGUUGUUUCUUCCCUCAGUUACUUCAACCAGGACAUGGAUGCUCUCUAUAUGCUUUGCUUUUAUCUUCUGCUCUGUCUUUUGGGCAUUGGACUGUUGGGGUUGUGUGUGUAGAUCACUGUAAUUAAAGAGUAGGUAUUAAGGAAUUUUAAGAAGAAAUUGUAAUAAUAUCUUAUUUAUCUCCGUUUGUACAUCUCGUCUGCUUUAUCUUCCUUGCAAACAAAAAAGGUAGUUUAACCUAACAGGGCUGGAAUUAAGUACGAAAGGAAGUUUAACACUGAAAUUUAUAUUGUAGGGAUUAGAAAUCAGUGCCAAGAAAGCCGGAAAUCCUGGUGGUGUAGUGGUUACAGAUGCUGACUAAAAAGGUCGGCAGUUCACAUCUGCCAGGCGCUCCUUGGGAACUCUCUGGGGCAGUUCUACUCUGUUCUACAGGGUCGCUUUGAGUUGGAAUCGACUUGAUGGUGACAGGUUUUUUUUUUUUCUUUUUUUGCCAAGAAAGCAGGCACUGGUUUUAGGUAGAUUAAAGUUACUGCCUGGAACAAAAAGUAUUCUGUAGUCAGGGUAGGAACAUUGGGGCUGAUGCAGAGACUGUCUUUGGAACUCAGAAAGAAAAUAUAUUUUGUGGUGGCUGUGUAGGAGAGUUAGUUUUGUCAAAAACAUGUGGAAUUAAUAAUUUGGGGGCAGUAUGAUAAAGAAGAGGAUAUUGUAGUCUAACAGGACCAGAAAUAGGAAUUGGGGUAUAAAAUAGAGGAGAAAAAGGUAGACGUAAACAUUGUUGUGAAUAGCAGUAAUAACCGUUAUUGGUCUUUACUGUGUUUCAGGGACUAUUUUAAGAGGUAGGCAUUAUGAUCAAACCUCAACUGACCGAGAAGAAAAAUUUAAGUUAAGUGAUUGCUCAAGGUCGCAGAUAGCUAGUCAGGGGAGGGAAGAUCAAAGAUAGAACUCAGGCAGUUCUCACUAUAGGCUUCUCGUUUAACCAUACACUAUACCACCUUUCUAAAUUUUGUUCCUUAUGAGAUCAUCAGUCUAGAGGAGGUUCCCUUUUUUCUCCUUUUGUUGAAGUCCUGUGUUAAGGGCCAAUGCUGAUUAAGGCUCAGUUAGAAAGAGGAUUUUGGCAUGUGACCAGUGAGUGGUAUUUACAGAGAGUACAAGGUUCAUGGUUUUUUAGAACCCAGGGGUAUAAAUGAAUCCAUAAGCCUGGGCGAUUUUUUUUCCCCCAACUGGGAAAUAUCUCCAGGUCCCCUCUCCUCUCCUUUGAAUUUUAAAGACUUUCUGUUUUUUUUGUCAGUCUGUUGUAUCCAUAGAGUGAGACCAUUUUAAAAGGAGACUAUAAUUCGUCUUGUUCCAAAUGCCAGCACAUCAUUUGGCAUAUGUAGUGGACACCUAGUAAAGAUUGCUAGAUUUGAGGGACAGACAGAUGAAUACUGGUUCAGCUUUGGUCUGUAUGCUGGCAAGAGAGCCCCCUCCACCACCACUGUAAGACAUCUUAAAACUUUAGGAGACCUGGGAAGGGUGGGAAUGUCUCUGGACCCCUAAGUAUGAAACACAGAUAUAAGUUGCUCUGAUUUCAUUUCCCCAGGAUUACUUACUUUUUCUCACUUGUGGACAAGACAUGUGAACAAGUAACUUCAGUUUAGUGUUAGGAGUGCUGUCAUAGAAGUGCCUUUAAGAUGCACUGGGAGUGCUUAGCCAAGCCAAGCUUAUGUUAUACGAGUUGCUGAGUUUCAGAAUACAAGGAGUUAGACAUGGAAGGAGGGCAAGCAUUCCACACUGAAUAAAAGAACAUGAAUAAAGAUACUAAGGGCCAAAAUAGCAAGGAACUAAAAGGAAUUUAGCGUUAUUGAAUCAUAAAGCAUAAAUUGAGGAGCCAUGGGAUAUUGUAUGCUAUUUUUUUUAUGCUAAGGAUCUUGGGUUUUAUCAUAGAGUAUUUUCCCUCAAUCUUUUCCACAAAAGUACAGCUGAAGUCACAGGAGUUUGAAUACUAAUGCUUUCGAAGUAAGAGAGCAAAGUCCACAUGGGUCUGCUGCCUGUUUGAAAUUUCUCUUAAGACUGGUGUUUUAUUGUUAAAAAUUAUGAAAAACUUUGUGUUCUAGAAUUGAUUAGUAUGAAUUCUUAGCUUCAAUUUUCUAAUUUAUAGAAUAGGGAUAAUGAUAGCAUUUACCUCUUAGGAUUGUUGGUAGGAGUAAUAAGAAUAACUAUAAUUAUGGUAAUGACAAUGUAAUAGCUAACAUUUUUUGAGGGCGUGUUUACUAAGGAACAAUCCUAAGUGCUUCACUUCUCUUACUUCAUUUAAUCCUCAGAACAUCUCCGUGAGGUAGGUGCUGUUAUUAUCUCCCUCUUCUAACAACACUGGGGCAUAGAGAAGUAAUUUACCUAAGAUUACCCAGUAAGUGGCAGAGCUUGGUCUGAACCUAGGCAGCCUGAAUAUAAGACACUUCACUACUGUACUCUCAUUCUAUGAGAUUAUGCAUAUAGAGAAUUUAGCAUAGAAUCUGGCACGUAAUAAAGUAUGUGUAUUUUUUUUUAAAGGAAUUACCAAUAGCCAAUCACUUAUUUUGUCUACACCUUUGAGUUCGAUUGAUAUCCUCAGUUAAUUGUACUGUUUUGUGGGGGGCCUGAUUUACUCCCUGGCAAACCACUGAAUAUAGACAGUGUGACUCCCAAGCCCAGCUUUUUAACUCCUACGCUAUACUGCCUCCUCCUUCUUUGGUCUUUCUCUACAUUAGACUUUGAAUCUAUAACCAAAACCAAACCCGUUGCUGUCGAGUUGAUUCCGGCUUACAGAGACCCUGUAGGACAUAGUAAAACUACCCCGUAGAGUUUCCAGGGAGCAGCUGGUGGAUUUGAACUGCCAGCCUUUUUGGUUAACAGCCAAACUCUUAACCACUGGACCAUCAGGACUCUACUCUAACACAUAAAAAAAAAAAAAAUAGAAAUGUCCAAAUAUUUGG